UUCUGGCCUGCAGGGAUACAUGCAGAC
rnacentral:piRNA from 1 species